ensembl:snRNA U6 U6 spliceosomal RNA
AUGCUCACCUCAGCAGCAUAUAUACUAAAAAUUAGAACAAUACAGAGAAGAUUAGCAUGGCCCCUGUGCAAGGAUGAGAUGCAAAUUCGUGAAGCAUUCCAUAUUUUU